AUUGAACGCUGGCGGUAGGCCUAACACAUGCAAGUCGAACGGCAGCACAGUAAGAGCUUGCUCUUACGGGUGGCGAGUGGCGGACGGGUGAGGAAUACAUCGGAAUCUACUUUUUCGUGGGGGAUAACGUAGGGAAACUUACGCUAAUACCGCAUACGACCUACGGGUGAAAGCAGUGGAUCUUCGGACCUUGCGCGAUUGAAUGAGCCGAUGUCGGAUUAGCUAGUUGGCGGGGUAAAGGCCCACCAAGGCGACGAUCCGUAGCUGGUCUGAGAGGAUGAUCAGCCACACUGGAACUGAGACACGGUCCAGACUCCUACGGGAGGCAGCAGUGGGGAAUAUUGGACAAUGGGCGCAAGCCUGAUCCAGCAAUACCGCGUGGGUGAAGAAGGCCUUCGGGUUGUAAAGCCCUUUUGUUGGGAAAGAAAAGCAGCAGGUUAAUACCCCGCUGUUUUGACGGUACCCAACGAAUAAGCACCGGCUAACUUCGUG
rnacentral:rRNA from 1 species